rnacentral:misc_RNA from 1 species
AACUUUUGGCAAUGGAUCACUUGGCUCUCGCAUCGAUGAAGAAUGCAGCGAAUUGCGAUAUGUAAUGUGAAUUGCAGAAUUCAGUGAAUCAUCGAAUCUUUGAACGCAUAUUGCACCCUCCGGUAUUCCGGAGGGUAUGCCUGUUUGAGUGUCAUUAAUCUCUCAACUUGAGUUGAUAGUUUAACUGUCAAUUCAAAGUUGGAAUAUGAAGGCUUGCUGGCUUCUAGUUAGCUCCUUUUAAAUGUAUUAGCAGUUCUAUGUAGAGCUAGCUUCAGCGUGAUAAAAUAAUUAUCUGCGUUGUGCCUGCACAAGUAGAAAGCUUUCAAAUUGUCCAUUUGAAUUUGGACUGCCUUAUUUUAGGCAAAUUUAUUGACUCUUGACCUCAAAUCAGGUAGGACUACCCGCUGAAUUUAAGCAUAUCAAUAAGCGGAGGCU